rnacentral:rRNA from 1 species
AGCGAACGCUGGCGGCAGGCUUAACACAUGCAAGUCGAACGGGCAUCUUCGGAUGUCAGUGGCAGACGGGUGAGUAACACGUGGGAACGUACCCUUCGGUUCGGAAUAACUCAGGGAAACUUGAGCUAAUACCGGAUACGCCCUUUUGGGGAAAGGUUUACUGCCGAAGGAUCGGCCCGCGUCUGAUUAGCUUGUUGGUGGGGUAACGGCCUACCAAGGCGACGAUCAGUAGCUGGUCUGAGAGGAUGAUCAGCCACACUGGGACUGAGACACGGCCCAGACUCCGACGGGAGGCAGCAGUGGGGAAUAUUGGACAAUGGGCGCAAGCCUGAUCCAGCCAGGCCGCGGGAGUGAUGAAGGCCUUAGGGUUGUAAAGCUCUUUUGUCCGGGACGAUAAGGACGGUACCGGAAGAAUAAGCCCCGGCGAACUUCGU